UACAGAGGGUGCGAGCGUUGUCCGGAAUCACUGGGCGUAAAGCGCGCGUAGGCGGCUUUGCAAGUCGGGUGUGAAAUCCCCAGGCUUAACCUGGGAACUGCAUUCGAGACUGCAUUGCUAGAGUAUGGGAGAGGGAAGUGGAAUUUCCGGUGUAGCGGUGAAAUGCGUAGAUAUCGGAAGGAACAUCAGUGGCGAAAGCGACUUCCUGGACCAAUACUGACGCUCAUGUGCGAAAGCGUGGGGAGCAAACAGG
rnacentral:rRNA from 1 species